UACGUAGGGUGCGAGCGUUGUCCGGAAUUAUUGGGCGUAAAGGGCUCGUAGGCGGUCUGUUGCGUCGGGAGUGAAAACUCAGGGCUUAACCCUGAGCCUGCUUCCGAUACGGGCAGACUAGAGGUAUGCAGGGGAGAACGGAAUUCCUGGUGUAGCGGUGAAAUGCGCAGAUAUCAGGAGGAACACCGGUGGCGAAGGCGGUUCUCUGGGCAUUACCUGACGCUGAGGAGCGAAAGUGUGGGGAACGAACAGG
rnacentral:rRNA from 1 species